UCAAAUCGACAUAUAAUUUGGUAUCGAAUUUGUUGGUUACAGGUACUGUGUUGACGCCGGAGGAGGUUGCAGUGUUUAGAGCAAUUUGGAAUUGCCCAGUACCUUCAAAAGUAUCAGCCCUGCUAUGGAAGCUUUUACAUGAUAGAAUUCCAACCAAAGUGAACUUAUAUAGAAGAGGAGUAAUUCAUUCGGAAGGUCACCAGUCAUGUGCAUUUUGUGGAAAUUGCGCUAAAACGGCGAUUCAUCUACUGCUGUAUUGUGAUUUUGCAACUCGGGUAUGGCG
rnacentral:lncRNA from 1 species